rnacentral:rRNA from 1 species
AUCGAACGCUGGCGGCGUGGCUAAAACAUGCAAGUCGAACGCGAAAGUUCCCUUCGGGGAGCGAGUAGAGUGGCGCAAGGGCGAGUAAUGCAUGGGUAACGUACCCCGGACACCGGGAUAGCUGUGGGAAACCACAGGUAAUACCGGAUAAGACCACAGUGUCACAUGGCACGGCGGUCAAAGGGCGGGGACCUCUUCGGAGGCCUGUCGGUUCGGGAGCGGCCCAUGUCUCAUCAGCUAGUUGGUAGGGUAACGGCCUACCAAGGCUACGACGAGUACCGGGGCUGAGAGGUUGACCCGGCGCAUUGGGACUGAGACACUGCCCAGACUCCUACGGGAGGCUGCAGUAACGAAUAUUCCGCAAUGGGCGAAAGCCUGACGGAGCGACGCCGCGUGUGGGAGUAAGCUCUUCGGAGUGUAAACCACUGUCAGGGAUUACCAAGCAAAGGCGGCUAAUAUCUGCCGGCGC